rnacentral:lncRNA from 1 species
UUUUAUUAUUCGCUUAUUUUAAUUGCUUUUAGUAGUUUAUUAAUCAAAUCAAUCUCAAACCCCCCCAUUUUACUUUUACUGCAAUUUAUUUUUAUUCCGCUUUCAGUUUAUCUCAUUUUUGGUUUAUCUCAUUGUUUCAGUUUAUUUUAUUGGUCUUGUUGAGAAAAAUAAAUAGGUAAUCAAUUCCCUGUGGAUUCGAUCCUUCACCACUAUCUGCAGUUGU